CCUACGGGAGGCAGCAGUGGGGAAUAUUGCACAAUGGGCGCAAGCCUGAUGCAGCAACGCCGCGUGAGCGAAGAAGGUCUUCGGAUCGUAAAGCUCUGUCCUUGGGGACGAAGAAGUGACGGUACCCAAGGAGGAAGCCCCGGCUAACUACGUGCCAGCAGCCGCGGUAAU
rnacentral:rRNA from 1 species